AUUCGAUUCAACCUGGUUGAUCCUGCCAGUAGUCAUAUGCUCGUCUCAAAGAUUAAGCCAUGCAUGUGUAAGUAUAAGCGAUUGUACUGUGAGACUGCGAACGGCUCAUUAUAUCAGUAAUAAUUUCUUCGGUAGUUUCUUUUAUAUGGAUACCUGCAGUAAUUCUGGAAAUAAUACAUGCUGUAAGAGCCCUGUAUGGGGCUGCACUUAUUAGAUUGAAGCCGAUUUUAUUGGUGAAUCAUGAUAAUUGAGCAGAUUGACUUUUUUAGUCGAUGAAUCGUUUGAGUUUCUGCCCCAUCAGUUGUCGACGGUAGUGUAUUGGACUACGGUGACUAUAACGGGUGACGGAGAGUUAGGGCUCGACUCCGGAGAGGGAGCCUGAGAGACGGCUACCAUAUCCAAGGAUAGCAGCAGGCGCGUAAAUUACCCACUGUGGACUCCACGAGGUAGUGACGAGAAAUAUCAAUGCGAAGCGUGUAUGCGUUUUGCUAUCGGAAUGAGAGCAAUGUAAAACCCUCAUCGAGGAUCAACUGGAGGGCAAGUCUGGUGCCAGCAGCCGCGGUAAUUCCAGCUCCAGAAGCAUAUGCUAAAGUUGUUGCAGUUAAAAAGCUCGUAGUUGAAUUUCUGGCAUGGGCGACCGGUGCUUUCCCUGAAUGGGGAUUGAUUGUCUGCGUUGCCUUGGCCAUCUUUUUCUUUUCUUUAUAGGGGAGAAAUCUUUCACUGUAAUCAAAGCAGAGUGUUCCAAGCAGGUCGUAUGACCGGUAUGUUUAUUAUGGGAUGAUAAGAUAGGACUUGGGUGCUAUUUUGUUG
rnacentral:rRNA from 1 species